GAAAAGCCUAGGGACCGAUCGUAUAGAACUUACAAAAGAAUAAUACAAGCUGUUGGGCGAGGAGCUCCGGAUAACGGCGAUCUUGUGCGGGAUGAUGCCAGACGUUGAUGAAGCCCGGGGCAGUGGGGAAGAAGUGUCCAUAGAACCGGUGGUGGACGUCGGCGUACGGAGUGGGCUGGUAGACGUUCCGACGAACACUUACAGGCAAGUGGCAAGCUCCGUCUUCUCUCCUCUCUCGACCUUAAUCCGGGGGUUUUAUACGAUUUUCCCUCGAAUCUUCCCCUCUUGAUUGGUCUUGGGUCCCUUUCUCCUGUUUCGAUUGGUCAUUCUUCUGUUUCUAAGCAAGACAGAAACCAAGUCCGGCCGGGGAUGGCGCCCGAACGUUGACAACUACGCUCAUAAUUUAUGCCGUUUGGCCCCCCUUUUCUUGGACAUCGGGCUUGACCGAUCGGCCAGAUGUUCUGUGUCCGCCUACUCCCCUUCCGCGACGGUCCCGGGCUCACAUGAUCUAACAGGUGUUCUUGGCCAUAAGUCUCUCCUCUCUUGAUUGUAUACAUUCUGACUCUUAUAUACGAGCACCCUGACAAAGCCCCUCUCACUCGGUUUGCAUUCCCCUUUGUCGUUCAUCAUCGUAUCGCGUUUAUUUUAGAACCAGUGUUUUAGUUCGGUCGAGUCUACGAGUAUACUGUCCCGACACGUGUUCUCGACCCGAUUGAACUUCCGAAAUUCCCUGACAUAGCAAUUUUGCAAACAACCGAAAUUCCGACGCGAUUUUAGGAUCCCUACACUAUUCAUCAAAUGUCACGGCACGCCACUCCUUUCUCAUAAAAAGUAUUCCGUCAUUCUUGACAGUGGAGUUUCUAGUUAUGUAUAUAAGAUGAAAAUGUCGAGUUUAAUGAAGCAAUAUCCGAAAAUCCUUGAACUUGUUUUCUAAAUUUGCAUUGUAAUUAGUCAACAAUGCGUUCAAUCGGUUGUUUGUUUCCGAAAGAAUCACUACGUGGAAAUAGUGAAUUACUUUCUCUUGACAUUUGUCACUGGGCUAUAAAACCUAUUUAUUCAUUAAAGCUUAUUCUCACGGUCUACGAUUGGCUAAAAAUUGUCUUGCCCCGUAAUGACUCAUCACGUGCCACCCUUUCUGUUCCGUUCUUCUGGUUUCUAAGUAUUUACAGACGUCGGGUUACUUGAGUUUACGCUUUGAGUUCAGUUAGGUUUACGUUUAGUUGAUGAAAUUCACAAUUGCUAUAAACAAAAAAUCUUAGGACAAGUUUCCACUUUUUCCCACUGCUAUUGGUAAUUAUUGGAGGACGGAGGAAUACAAAACGUGUCACGUGACCUAAUUUUGAUGCAAUUCAGUCACGUGGAUAACUAGAAACGUCACUCAGCACGUGUCAUUUCUGAGGUACAGUAUUUCCUGACAACUUCUUUCUCGCGGAAAACAUUUAAAAUUAAUUUUCGUAUAUUAAAUACAUUAAUUAUUAAUAGUUCAAGUAUUAUGAAAUUUGCGCACUAAUUACAAAAUUUAUAUAAUAAUUAUAACAGUUAGACGCGGAUUUCAAAGCAUUCCUUUGCAUAAAUGAUAAGGCAUUAUAAAUAAUUCUCGUCGCAUAGAACAAAUAAUUUUGUGAUAAAUCGAUGUUGUAGAAGAGCAAACUUUGAAUGCAAGAUGUCUUUUAUUUUGAAAUUGUACCAAUCGUUUUUUUAAAUAAGAAGUUUUAAUUUUCAAAUGAAUUUCCAUUUUUCAUUUAGCCUAUUUACAUUCAUUACUUGUAGAAGUAGAUGUUUUACAAUGUAUCGGUUUUCUAACUUAUUUAAAUUAUGUCGACAUUCGAACUCUCAUUGUUUAAACCGACCUUGGUCGACUUUUCUAUUCGUAACAAGUUUCAUUUUUCUUUUUCGUUAUUUCCAUCCGGUCGUUUUUCACGAAUUAAUAAUCAAUGUUCAGGUUUUGUCGUAAUAGAAUUUAAAAGCAUUAA